ensembl:lncRNA
CAGGAAGUCAUCAAUGCCCUGAAGCAAACCUGGCAUGUGAACUGCUUCCUGUGCACCGCGGCUGCCAGCAGCCCAUCCGCAACAACACCUUCCACCUGGAGGACGGACAGCCGUACUGUGAGACCGAUUUCUACACCCUGUUCGGCACCAGCUGUCACGGGUGUGACUUCCCCAUCGAAGCGGGCGAUAAGUUCCUGGAGGCGCUGGGGUUCACCUGGCACGACACCUGCUUCGUCUGUACGGUGUGCAGCACGAGUCUGGAGGGUCAGACCUUCUUCUCCAAGAAAGACAAGCCCUUGUGCAAGAAACACGCUCACACCGUCCAGUUCUGAUCUGAUCUCACGGAGAAACACCUUGCUGGUCAUAUUUGACUUUGUGAGAUUUAUUUCAGUGUGUGAAUGUUUAUGAGAAGAGAUGGAUUUGCUUCAGUUUCCGUCAUCAUGAGAUCAGAAACUGCUUCCCUGAGGCUCGGUUUCAUCUUCAGUGUUGUAUUUUGAGUGUGUUAGAGCGAGAAUAUCAUGCGAUGCAGUGUUUUAUUGACAUCUUGACAUGCAAAAGAUAUUUCACUUGUUAUUUUUAGCAUUACAGAAGUUCAUAUUCUAUUUUCCACAUGUAUUUAAAGAGCCGUGACUCUGUGCUGAUAUAUUUUUCACACUCGUGAGAUCAGCGUUUGGACGGCCGUCUCUCUCCUGCGUCCCGCUGCAGUACAUCCAGCUCUCUUUAUGCAGGUAUAGUUCAUAUUUAUUGAGGCAGGACGGAAGAUUUCGGGGCUUUGCGCAUAUUUUACUUUCAGAGCGUUGAUAUUUAAUGUUUUAUGAGUUAUUUCUGUGCUCUUUUAUCUGUGUCAGGUUUGUGGGAUGUCUGAUUGUCUCUGUGCCUUUGUUUGUAUUAAUAUACAAAAAUGUGUCAUAUUUAGGCUUAAAGUCAUUCAGAUGCUUUUCUGAUCUUUAGCACUCGUUUUGAAGCUAAUAAGGGUCGGUGGUUCGUGUGCAUUCUCGCUGUUUUAGUUGCCUGUAAUUCACUUCUUUAUUCUGAGAUGGGAUGAAAAAAUAAAACACUGUUCUUCUCAAAGUGUGAUCUUUUU